AAUGAACGUUGGCGGCGUGGAUUAGGCAUGCGAGUCGUGCGAGAACCGUAGCAAUACGGGGACAGCGGCGAAAGGGAGAGGAACACGUGGAUACCUACCCUCAGGUUCAGGGUAGCUAUGGGAAACUAUAGGUAAUACUGAAUAAUAUCUCCGGAUCAAAGGUGUGAUUCCGCCGGAGGAGGGGUCCGCGUCCUAUUAGCUAGUUGGUGAGGUAAUGGCUCACCAAGGCGAAGAUGGGUACGGGAUGUGAGAACAUGAUCCCGCUCAUUGGGACUGAGACACUGCCCAGACACCUACGGGUGGCUGCAGUCGAGAAUCUUCGGCAAUGGGGGGAAACCCUGACCGAGCGACGCCGCGUGUGAGAUGAAGGCCUGGUGUAAUCACUGUCGUAGAGGAGGAAGUGUAGGUGGGUUCUCCACUUAUUGUACUAUCUAGAGGAAGGACGGGACGU
rnacentral:rRNA from 1 species